GUCUAUGGCCAUACCACCCUGAACGCGCCGGAUCGCGUCUGAUCUUGGAAGCUAAGCAGGGUCGAGCGUGGUUAGCACUUGGAUGGGAGACCGCCUGGGAAUACUGGUGCUGUAGGCU
rnacentral:rRNA from 1 species